GUAACAUUUAACAAGGAAGGAGAAACAGUGUCACUUACACACAAUGACGUCGUCUAAAUCUGGACUUUUCCCGGAGCAAAUACGAGGUCACCGCCUCAUUAUGAGGCGAGAUUAGUCUGUGAAAACAAAAUGUACAGUUAUGAUCGGUAUCUAUACGUAUAUAUUCCCUUAUAGCGCAGAAUGAAAGCAUAUUCUUUUGUUGUUGGAGUUGACGAGACGAUCCACUGAGAUCAUCAGCAGCUUCUUCUCGUCUGUCUGCGGACUGGCCGAAAGUUGGUGACCGCGGAGAGGAGUUGAAGGCGAGUUGAGCGCGAGACGUCGUCCAGCCAUUAUUCACGAAGCAGCAAAAACCAAACAAAGGAACUGGAGAUACAGUUCUUCUGAAUAUAGUAACACACACGUGUCUGUUUGUAUGCUCGUCUUGCAAGUACUGCUGUAUCAGUCAUGCCUAUGACCUCACACGUGAUUGGACGAGGAGUCUAAGGGUCCUCCAAUCACAUACGAGGUUAUUGUUAUACGGAAGGACCAGUAUUUUAGGAAGACAAAUGGUUGGGACUUUGAAACAGCUGAUAUGCUUUAUGUAAAGCAGUGUUUUGGUGUCAGCGGAACGACUUUCCCUAGAAAUCUGUACAGUGGU
ensembl:lncRNA